rnacentral:lncRNA from 1 species
AUUUGAGCUAUAGUUUCAUCUUUAGUAGUUAUUUUUCCUUAGUCUUUGUGAAUUUCUACCGAUCUUAAAAGUUCAUAUUUAGAUAUCUGAAUUAUUUCACAAUCAAUUUAUAUUUAUCAAUAUUAGUGUAAAUAAUAGAAAAGAAAUUCACACAAAAAAAUAUUAGAAAAGAAAAAACUUAAGAAUAACAACAUCGAAGUUGCAUGUCUCUGCUACUAUCUUAAGGGUUAUGUUUUGUUGUUUGUCUUUUAACCUUUU